UACGAAGGGGGCUAGCGUUGUUCGGAAUAACUGGGCGUAAAGCGCGCGUAGGCGGGCUGUUAAGUCAGGGGUGAAAUCCCGGGGCUCAACCCCGGAACUGCCUUUGAUACUGGCAGCCUAGAGUUCGAGAGAGGUGAGUGGAAUUCCGAGUGUAGAGGUGAAAUUCGUAGAUAUUCGGAGGAACACCAGUGGCGAAGGCGGCUCACUGGCUCGAUACUGACGCUGAGGUGCGAAAGCGUGGGGAGCAAACAGG
rnacentral:rRNA from 1 species